AUGAGCGAUGGAUAUUUUAUCCUAGUAACAAAAGCAACUGUGACACCUUCCCUGGCCAAAAUGUACUCAUCUGUUGGGUGUCAGAAUGAAUACGUCUUCUUCCCCCGGGUCACAUGAGAUGCUCCCGUGAUCCCUCUGUGAUGUCACAGGACCUCUGCACUUGGAACCUGCCUUUCUACUUAUCUAUUCCCCCAGUUGGGUCACAAGCCUAGUACAACUCUGUAGGUCCUCCACAUGCUGAUUCUCUCUCCUGAAGAUCCCUCACUUUCAGCCUUUCCAGUGAGGGGCUGGAGGCAAAAUAUGCAAGGACUGAAUGAAUUAAUCAAUUAAUUGCACGUUCAUAUCGUCUUUCACAGACGGGAAAUGAAGACUCGGAGGAGCUGAGUGCCUGAGCCCCUCUAGACACUUCAGCAAAGAUGUUUUCUCGCCCUGGAGCAGCAUCCCUGGAACGCAGAGAGCUGGAGGCCCUUAGACCUUGACACACUGAGGUUUUCAGUGCCAUGAACUUGGAGAGGGGCCCCUGGGACCCCAGAUGCAGCUACUGAGGCUCCCUUUGAACUGUGCACCUUAAAAAGGUGAGUCCUAGGUGGGCAUGCUGCCAUAACUGGGGCCAAAGUGCUGGAGAAUUCUCCAGCUGCCAUCUGACAUCAAGUCCCCUCCAUUCUUAGAGGGGCAGCCCAAGGUCCCACCAUGCAGGCACAAUGAAUACACAGCACCUUACCUUCAAAAAGGGACAGUCCUCAAGGCCUCUCCGGUGUGGAAGCAAAUCCAGUCCUUCAAACACAACGCAAACAAAUGACUUUGGCUCGUCUCAGUGGUGAUAACUAUGUUUGGGGAUAAUGCUUUUGUAAGUUUCCCAGGUAUGCAGCACAAUUCUUCCAUUUGCCUGGCUUUUCCCUAAUAGUACAACCUAAUUAAAUAUGAUUAGUUUCCAAA